CAGGAACUCUCAGAACUAAGAGGAAAACUUUAGAGCCAGAAGAGGGCCACGGGAGAGCUAUGUCUGAUGUUAAUUUUCACAACUUGGAAACUGAGAGCCAAGGAGGGGAAAGGGGAGCUGACCUAUGCCUUUGCAUGAAGAUUUCCCACCACGCUGACGAGAUCACUUGUCAGGAGAGACAGGAGACAAGCGCUGCUGGAUCCAUCUGUCCACGGUGAACUGGACCGCCCUUUGAUCACGCACAGCUCUUGACCUCCCUUUAACCCCACAGGCUCUUCCGUCUGUGUUCUGAACCCUACAGUUGCAGUCUUCCCCAUUUUAAACAGCGGGGAUCUGAGCCUCGGGGAGGAUGCAUGAAGCUCUGGAGUCCACCAGCCACUAAGAAGGCAGAGUGGAGAUUUCGACUCUGAUCUGUCCCAACUUGGAUAAACUCCCGGAACAGCCUGUCGCUGAUGAAAAACAGGGCAAAGCCAUGCCUUAAAAGUUAAUGAAGGUGGAGAUGUGGAGGGGGUGAGGUGGAGGGGUCGGUGAGGGAGGGGAGAGGGAAAGGGAAAGGGAAAGAAAAUGGCAGGACCUUGGCAGAAAAACCCAUGAAUGUUCCCGUGGAGACCAAAAACUUUUUAAAAGUGACUUUAAAAUAAUUACCAGUUCUCUUGCCUCUGGCAGCCCCCAGCCAUGGGACCUGGAAAGGAAAAACGAACUGGUCUUUUGUGUCUUGGGUUAGUAGGAAAGCAUGUUUCUAUGUCCCUGACUGGCAAGGACAUGUGGAC